UCUUAGCAACCGAUUUGGUCCUAGUCCUUCUCUUGGUUUUUUCCAAAACGAUACAUGCAAGCCACCAGCAAUACAGUGAGUAACAAUUUAAACCGUUCUAAAAAGAUAACGCUAUUAACAAACCAAAGUAUCAGACAAUACACCUAAUUCAAAAACACUAAGCAACGCCACAACUGCAGUACCUAACAUUAUACAAUAAGCAAAAGCUUGAUAUAGUUAUAGAAUUAAGAGUUGGUUAAUUAUGUGCCAGCCACCGCGGUUAUACAUAAAGCUCAAACCAAGAAAUUUAUCGGUCUAAAGGUGACCAGGGUAAAAUUAACAUUAAGGUAGAAAAUAACUCUAGUAUUAACAAGCUUUCACAGUAAAAUAAUUACAACAAAAACAUCACCUUAAACUUUACUAUGCCCAAAACACUAAAACUCAAAAAUAAACUGGGAUUAGAUACCCCACUAUAUGAGUCGAAAAAACUAAAAACACCAGAGA
rnacentral:rRNA from 1 species